rnacentral:lncRNA from 1 species
CGUCCUUGAGAGCUACACGGGGAGCGCGAGCGAGCGAGCCAGAGACUGGGGGAGAGGGACGCGCGCGCGCACACACAGACACACACACAGACACACACACACACACAGUGGAAAAGGCGAGCCACCAAACCCAUCUCCAGUCUCCUCCCGGGGGGCCCCCCAGCCCGCCACUGUGCCACUUUGCAUCCCGCGCCCGAGGAGACGCAGAGGAAAGCCGGAGAGUUGGACAUACUAAUAUUGAAUAUCAAUGAAAAAGUGUGGAGAUUAUUUCUUAGGAGAUAGUAACAUUCUGCACUGAUCAAGGACUACUUACAUCUUCACUCUGGCUUCUUAAUCAUCCACGGUGUAAAGACACACUUCAAGAGGAUCCUUAGAAGUCUUGGACAAGCUUCCCCACACGUGGCAGGUAUGUGUCUACACUGAGUGUGCAAGGAAUGUAACUUGUUUUAUUUUCUGCAGUUAGAUCUAAAUUAUAUUUCAACCCUUCGUGUAACCACGUGGAAGCAAUUUGAGGUUGCAUCCUAAUUCUAGGUAAGACUUUGAAGGUGAGGGGUGACAUAUCUGCUCCUAGGCUGUCAUCUCUCCACGAGUCAUGUUUGUCCUCUUAUCCUUCGUCAGUACUCAUGAGCCACUGCUGAGGCACACCUUGAUCUUCCUUUGAGGAUCUUUUCCUAUCUUUCUCUUGGCUUCUUCCAGAUACUCCGUGGACACGUGAGGGUGUGCUGCUGCUGAACCAGAAGAAAGUCUCUGGGGUGGCUUAGAGCUCUGUGCUCCUUGCAUGACGCUGUGAAGCCCCUGGGCCU